rnacentral:rRNA from 1 species
CNCCCUAAACGAUGUCAACUAGUUGUUGGGGAUUCAUUUCCNUAGUAACGUAGNUAACGCGUGAAGUUGNCCGCCNUGGGGAGUACGGUCGCAAGAUUAAAACUCAAAGGAAUUGACGGGGACCCGCACAAGCGGUGGAUGAUGUGGAUUAAUUCGAUGCAACGCGAAAANCCUUACCUACCCUUGACAUGCCACUAACGAAGCAGAGAUGCAUUAGGUGCUCGAAAGAGAAAGUGGACACAGGUGCUGCAUGGCUGUCGUCAGCUCGUGUCGUGAGAUGUUGGGUUAAGUCCCGCAACGAGCGCAACCCUUGUCUCUAGUUGCUACGAAAGGGCACUC